GACGAACGCUGGCGGCGUGCUUAACACAUGCAAGUCGAACGGAAAGGCCCUGCUUUUGUGGGGUGCUCGAGUGGCGAACGGGUGAGUAACACGUGAGUAACCUGCCCUUGACUUUGGGAUAACUUCAGGAAACUGGGGCUAAUACCGGAUAGGAGCUCCUGCUGCAUGGUGGGGGUUGGAAAGUUUCGGCGGUUGGGGAUGGACUCGCGGCUUAUCAGCUUGUUGGUGGGGUAGUGGCUUACCAAGGCUUUGACGGGUAGCCGGCCUGAGAGGGUGACCGGCGACAUUGGGACUGAGAGACGGCCCAGAAGCCUACGGGAGGCAGCAGUGGGGAAUAUUGCACAAUGGGCGGAAGCCUGAUGCAGAAACGCCGCGUGCGGGAUGACGGCCUUCGGGUUGUAAACCGCUUUCGCCUGUGACGAAGCGUGAGUGACGGUAAUGGGUAAAGAAGCACCGGCUAACUACGUG
rnacentral:rRNA from 1 species